UACAAUGAGAAAAAUGGAGUCUCAGCAAUUGUAAGAAUCUUAAUGGUUUCCUCUUCAAUUCUCACCCCAACUAUGAAUUCUUGGUAGAACACCCCUAACUGGUGAUCAUCACCAUCACUUUGAUGGAAGACCUUUAAGGGCAGGGAACUCAUAAUUUUACAAAGCAGCCCAGUUCAUUUUAAAUUGAUUUAGUUUUAGGUAGUUUUCCUUAUCUUGAGUAACUUUGGAAUUGUCAGUUGGUCAAUAAAUGUUUAUUAAGCACUUACUAUGUUCCAAAUCCUGUGCUAAGGGCUGGAGAAAUAAUUUUAAGGGGUUAAACUCUUAUCAUAGAGGCACAGUACUGCAGGUGUUUUCCUACCAGGUAGGUGGGAGUAGAUUACUUUGAUUGGUUUCAUACCUCAAACUUACUGCUUAAGACAAACUACGGUGGGAUAGUCUCACUUUCUUUUAUGCUCUUUUUUGUUAAGUCCACAGAAAAGAUGACAGGUUACCCACAGCCUGGGACCAUGAGUUGACCCUCAAAGGGGAAUAUCUUUCCUCCUUUUUUUUUUUUGCUCCAACUGAGAAAGAGAUCUAAGGAUGAUUGUUUCUGUUCUGUUCCAUUUCUGUUCCAUUUGUCCUCCUCAAUUUCAAGUGCAGGCAACAAUUCUCCCUGAAUCUAUGACUUUCAGUCAGAUGACCUCUGAGCCAGAAUUAUGGGUGGGAGUUUGUAGUCAGCCAGCCUAGCAAGGAUGCUGGGCGAGGCCAGGCCCAAGUGGCUUUUGGACUUGGAACUGGGAUUGGGCCCUGGUAGAACAGAGCAUGCAAACUCCUUUUAGAAGAUUUUUCAUCACUGAAUUUGUAUCCUCAGUAAGUAGCACAGUGCCUGGCAUAUAUGUGACCCCCCAAAUGAUUCAUUCAGCUGGAUAGCAAUGGGGGAUUUUGCUACAAUAAAAAAGAAAUGGCAAUGGCAGCUUUCAACUUCCAAACUGGUUUGUCGACUUUCCAGUUAAUAUCUGCGUGUUUGGUGCCUUCCACCUUCUGCCUUUGCUUUCACAGGAAGAGAGAGCCUGACGCACCCUGAGCCCUUCAUAGGGAAGCGUUCUCCAGGGUGCCAGUAAGAAAGGCUUUGGGAGAAAGAAGUCGUUUUACUACCAUGUGCAGCCAUUUUUUGGCUUCUUCCAGAGCAGUAGCUGUGUGCAACACCUGGAUGGCCUCCAGGAACGUCCUUGGCUUCAUACCCCACUUGCAGAGAGAGCUCCGACUCUCCCCACCUCUUCCCUCCAGUAACCCACCCAAGCAUAAGCUGCCUUUGUACCAUUCUUUCCUGCUGUCAGGCAGACUUCCAGAGUCACAUUAGCAGAUUGAAUACUACCAGCUCCAACCCUACAGUGAAGUUAGGAUGUGUCGAGAGAGAAAGAAAUUCUCUGACCGAGCCCCGUUUUAUUACAUUUAUGAGAAGCCCUAUUCAGCCCCACAAUUCCCACUAGAAAUGGGUACCAGGUAGGAGACCUUGUAUUCCAGGGGUUGUUUUUCUCUAGUGCCAGCCUCUGUCACAGUCUCCAAGCCCAGACUGUUGCAGAGAGCACUCCAGCAAGGAGACACACUAAUACGAGGAAAUCUGUUAAGUUAAACAACAGUCUGGGCAGCUCUGAGGCACAGUGUAUAGAGAU